rnacentral:lncRNA from 1 species
GCCUGCCCUCGCCGGAGAAGACGAACCAGAAGCCGGCCGCUGCCACCCGCCGCCGCACCGGAGGGAUUUUCGACCGCCGAUCGAGGUAAAUUUCAUACCCCCGACUCGUUUUUCCACGCUGAUUUCCCCAGUGGCCAAAUCGGAGCCAAAAUCCUGGCCAAACGGCCGGAAAACACGGCCGAAAGCCAGCGGCGCCGCCGCGCCCCUCCUCGGUUUUUG